rnacentral:rRNA from 1 species
UACGUAGGUGGCAAGCGUUGUCCGGAUUUAUUGGGCGUAAAGCGAGUGCAGGCGGUUCAAUAAGUCUGAUGUGAAAGCCCACGGCUUAACCGUGGAGGGUCAUUGGAAACUGGUUGACUUGAGUGCAGAAGAGGGAAGUGGAAUUCCAUGUGUAGCGGUGAAAUGCGUAGAUAUAUGGAAGAACACCAGUGGCGAAGGCGGCUCUCUGGUCUGCAACUGACGCUGAGGCUCGAAAGCGUGGGGAGCAAACAGG